CUCAUGGCUAAAACACAGGCUGUUGGAGAAGCUAGUCUUUCUCUACUUGGCUUGGGGCUACCAGGCCCUGUGGCUCAGAUGAAGGGCUGAUGAAAGGUGAGAGGGGCAUUAACGCUCAGCUCCCUGGAGGGGGUCCAUUUUCUCCAUGGGCCUGACCACAGAGAUGCCUGCCAGGAGCUUUUCACAGCGAACAAACAUUGUUUAUGCAGCUGUGAUUCCUUAAAUGAAAACGGACUUUCAAGCCUGAUGUAUCUUUGUUUCGAAGACAUUUUUAAAGGAGAGCUCUUUCCUGCAUUUGUGGAGGGAGUACUUAUUGAGGCAGACUCCGCCUAAUUAGGAACAAUCUCAUGCAUUCGAUCGGAAAGGAAGAAAGAAAGAAAAAAAAAGUCUGGCCCUGUUAAGUGUUUCCAUCUUGGGUUAGAGGCCUCGUGUAAAGCAGCUUCUUCCCUGGCCCGAAUGGCCUUCGCUGUGGAGACUGAAGAAAACCAUGGCUGGCUGGUUCCAAACCCUGAUGACCCCCGUGAGGAGAAUUACAGCCCAAACUUGGGGGCACUGAUCUCACUGCAUCCUGGCAGAUAAUGAAGGCACUGAUAACAUGGUACCUGGCACAAGGAAUCGAACUGAGAACUGGAACAAGGAUAACAGAGGUGAGGGGCCACAUUCCACUCUCCAUUUCCUGUGAAGCUGCAUUUGUUGACUGAGACAGCAGGCAAGCGCCUGGCCAGCAGUGAAUGACCAUGGUGGCAUAGCCUGGCUUCAAGGUAAAUUUGCUUCUUUGAAGUUACUGUGGGCCCUAGUCUCACAGCCAGGGACUACAGAGAGAAGGACACUAAAUGCCAGGAGGAUCUGUUUGGUUUAAGAAAUGUAGAACCCAUUGACCACAGGCUGAUUUGCUUAGGUCAGCUUCCUCUAGGAAAGCAUGUGUAGAUCUCCUGUAGAUGAUACAAGCUAGCCCAUCUCUAGCUUUUGGUUAAUCUUUUAGCUAAUGGUGAGUCAGAAAGCAAGCCAAGGACAUCACAGCUUGGGACCAUUUUGCAUGGUCUAUUUUUUUUUUUUUUUUAUAAAAGCAUGAAAGAUCUUCUUUAAUAAAAGAAGAAUUAAGUUAGGCA
ensembl:lncRNA